CGCCGGUGCGGGGCCGCCGAACCCGGCCUCCUCCGCGCGUCCCCGGCGUUUUACACGGCACAUCUCCUGCGAGCGGGAAGCGUCGUCCGGACAAGAAAGCGUCGCCGCUGUUAAGGCCUCCUGCGGGCCUCGGAGGCAAUUCAGACCAGACUACAGAAGUGAGAGCACUGUAUUCUUUUGAAGGACAACAGCCCGGGGACUUGAAUUUUCAAGCUGGAGACAGAAUCACAGUUUUAUCAAAAACAGACUCACAUUUUGAUUGGUGGGAAGGAAAACUCCGAGGUCAAACUGGCAUUUUUCCAGCCAGCUCUGUUACCAUGAAUUAAAGUUUAUAUGAUUUCCUUCUUUGAGAGUUAUAAGAAAAUUAUUUCUGCACUCACAGGAUUUACUAUCUAGUUAAACAGUGUUUAAUACAAGUUCAAAACCUCUUCUGUUUAUUCCAUAAACCUUUAUCCUGUAUGUAAAAGAUUUUGUUUUUCUAUAUAUAAAUGGUUACCUUACAUGUCUUUAAAUACUUUCUACUAAUUUUAUUACAUAUACUAUUUAAGAGUUAAUGUCUUCCAAUUUAUAUGGUCACAUUAUUUUUGUGUUCAUUUUUAAACACCCAUAAAUAUUUGAUUUGGCUUUGUACCUUAUGACUUUAAUUUGGGAAGCUUAAGGAUGGGGGUGUGAAUUCUAACUGUGUAUUAAAUAAUAAUUAGAGUUGUAGGUACUAACUAGAAUAUUAAUUCUUAAAAUUAUUUCUAUGCCUUCAAAAGUUGCAUAUAUAUGUUUCAUGUACAUGUAUGUAAGAUACUAUUACAAAGAAAUUCAACCACUGUUCAUUAAAAAAAGAUGACAUCUAUUAAUUUUUUUUCUUUGUGAGGUUAUGUUCAUUUGUAGCAGUAGAAUAAACUUAUGUUGACAUGCUUCUGUUGUCCUUAAAUAAAUGUUUUUAAAUGCUAA